rnacentral:rRNA from 1 species
CCUACGGGAGGCAGCAGUGAGGAAUAUUGGUCAAUGGGCGCGAGCCUGAACCAGCCAAGUCGCGUGAGGGAAGACGGUCCUAUGGAUUGUAAACCUCUUUUGUCGGGGAGCAAAAGACGCCCCGCGUGGCGUUCCGAGAGUACCCGAAGAAAAAGCAUCGGCUAACUCCGUGCCAGCAGCCGCGGUAAUACGGAGGAUGCGAGCGUUAUCCGGAUUUAUUGGGUUUAAAGGGUGGGCAGGCGGCAAGAAAAGCUUAAGGUGAAAGCGUGGGGCUCAACCCCAUAAAGCCUUAGGAACUAGCUUGCUAGAGUGCAGGAGAGGGCGAUGGAAUGCCAUGUGUAGCGGUAAAAUGCGUAGAUAUAUGGAGGAACACCAGUGGCGAAGGCGGUCGCCGGGCCUGUAACUGACGCUGAGGCACGAAAGCGUGGGGAGCAAAUAGGAUUAGAUACCCGGGUAGUC